CCCUCGAUAGCUCAGUUGGCAGAGCGGUGGACUGUAUAGUGAACCAACGGUGAUCCAUAGGUCGCUGGUUCAAAUCCGGCUCGAGGGA